UUGAACGCUGGCGGCAUGCUUUACACAUGCAAGUCGAACGGCAGCGCGGGCUUCGGCCUGGCGGCGAGUGGCGAACGGGUGAGUAAUACAUCGGAACGUGCCCAGUAGUGGGGGAUAGCUCGGCGAAAGCCGGAUUAAUACCGCAUACGACCUGAGGGUGAAAGCGGGGGAUCUUCGGACCUCUCGCUCUUGGAGCGGCCGAUGGCAGAUUAGCUAGUUGGUGGGGUAAAGGCCUACCAAGGCGACGAUCUGUAGCUGGUCUGAGAGGACGACCAGCCACACUGGGACUGAGACACGGCCCAGACUCCUACGGGAGGCAGCAGUGGGGAAUUUUGGACAAAGGGCGAAAGCCUGAUCCAGCAAUGCCGCGUGUGUGAUGAAGGCCUUCGGGUUGUAAAGCACUUUUGGCGGGAACGAAAAGGACUGUGCCAAUACCACGGUUCGAUGACGGUACCCGCAGAAUAAGCACCGGCUAACUACGUG
rnacentral:rRNA from 1 species